UACGGGGGGGUAAGCGUUGUUCGGAAUUACUGGGCGUAAAGGGCUCGUAGGCGGCCAACUAAGUCGGACGUGAAAUCCCUCAGCUUAACUGGGGAACUGCGUCCGAUACUGGAUGGCUUGGAUUUGGGAGAGGGAUGCGGAAUUCCAGGUGUAGCGGUGAAAUGCGUAGAUAUCUGGAGGAACACCGGUGGCGAAGGCGGCAUCCUGGACCAAUAUUGACGCUGAGGAGCGAAAGCGUGGGGAGCGAAACAGG
rnacentral:rRNA from 1 species